rnacentral:rRNA from 1 species
GAUGAACGCUGGCGGCGUGCCUAAUACAUGCAGGUCGAGCGAACGGACGAGGAGCUUGCUUCUCUGAUGUUAGCGGCGGACGGGUGAGUAACACGUGGAUAACCUACCUAUAAGACUGGGAUAACUUCGGGAAACCGGAGCUAAUACCGGAUAAUAUUUUGAACCGCAUGGUUCAAAAGUGAAAGACGGUCUUGCUGUCACUUAUAGAUGGAUCUGCGCUGCAUUAGCUAGUUGGUAAGGUAACGGCUUACCAAGGCAACGAUGCAUAGCCGACCUGAGAGGGUGAUCGGCCACACUGGAACUGAGACACGGUCCAGACUCCUACGGGAGGCAGCAGUAGGGAAUCUUCCGCAAUGGGCGAAAGCCUGACGGAGCAACGCCGCGUGAGUGAUGAAGGUCUUCGGAUCGUAAAACUCUGUUAUUAGGGAAGAACAUAUGUGUAAGUAACUGUGCACAUCUUGACGGUACCUAAUCAGAAAGCCACGGCUAACUACGUGCCAGCAGCCGCGGUAAUACGUAGGUGGCAAGCGUUAUCCGGAAUUAUUGGGCGUAAAGCGCGCGUAGGCGGUGACUUAAGUGAGGUGUGAAAGCCCCGGGCUUAACCUGGGAAUUGCAUUUCAUACUGGGUCGCUAGAGUACUUUAGGGAGGGGUAGAAUUCCACGUGUAGCGGUGAAAUGCGUAGAGAUGUGGAGGAAUACCGAAGGCGAAGGCAGCCCCUUGGGAAUGUACUGACGCUCAUGUGCGAAAGCGUGGGGAGCAAACAGGAUUAGAUACCCUGGUAGUCCACGCUGUAAACGAUGUCGAUUUGGGGGUUGAACUUUAGGUUUGGCGCCCGUAGCUAACGUGAUAAAUCGACCGCCUGGGGAGUACGGCCGCAAGGUUAAAACUCAAAUGAAUUGACGGGGGCCCGCACAAGCGGUGGAGCAUGUGAUUUAAUUCGAUGCAACGCGAAGAACCUUACCUACUCUUGACAUCCAGAGAACAUUCCAGAGAUGGAUUGGUGCCUUCGGGGGACAAAGUGACAGGUGCUGCAUGGCUGUCGUCAGCUCGUGUCGUGAAAUGUUGGGUUAAGUCCCGCAACGAGCGCAACCCUUAAGCUUAGUUGCCAUCAUUAAGUUGGGCACUCUAAGUUGACUGCCGGUGACAAACCGGAGGAAGGUGGGGAUGACGUCAAAUCAUCAUGCCCCUUAUGAUUUGGGCUACACACGUGCUACAAUGGACAAUACAAAGGGCAGCGAAACCGUGAGGUCAAGCAAAUCCCAUAAAGUUGUUCUCAGUUCGGAUUGUAGUCUGCAACUCGACUACAUGAAGCUGGAAUCGCUAGUAAUCGUAGAUCAGCAUGCUACGGUGAAUACGUUCCCGGGUCU